rnacentral:lncRNA from 1 species
AUGUCAUUUUACAGGCAGUGAGUGAACACUGAAUCAUUUGCUCGCAGUGUUUCUAGAAUCCUGUUCUCAGGUUUUGUAGAUCAGGGAUUCUUCUGGAUGGGAAGAUUGUAUUUUAUGAUUCAGCAUUUCCAUUGUAGGUUUUUUUUUUUUUUUGUAGCCUGCAAGAAAGUAAUUUAAUUAAUAACAUCAUCAGAACUAAACCGAAACGAACAGUAGUUUGAAUGAAACUGAUUGAUACAGCAUUACAGAAGUAUAAUAGAGUCUGCAGUGUUGUAUAAAUAUCCAACACUAAUAUAUUUUUAUAUUUUUAUUACAUGUUUUUAGUCUUGAUAUGCAGUAUGUCUGAUAAUGGCUGUAUUUCUGUCUUGUCUCUCCAGAAUGAGUGGUAUCUUGGUUGUAAACUGGUCCGGCUGAAGCAGAGCUCUGGGACGUGUGGACAGACAUUGACUGUAUUGAUGGACAUCUGCUCAUGGACAGCAUAACCGCUGCUGGUCACAGUGCCGGAAGCUCCGAGGGGGAAUCUUUUUUUAAUUGCAUGCGUCAUCUUACUAUGGCAAUGUU